rnacentral:rRNA from 1 species
GAUGAACGCUAGCUACAGGCUUAACACAUGCAAGUCGAGGGGAAACGGCAUUGAGUGCUUGCACUCUUUGGACGUCGACCGGCGCACGGGUGAGUAACGCGUAUCCAACCUUCCCAUUACUGUGGGAUAACCUGCCGAAAGGCAGACUAAUACCGCAUAGUCUUCGAUGACGGCAUCAGAUUUGAAGUAAAGAUUUAUCGGUAAUGGAUGGGGAUGCGUCUGAUUAGCUUGUUGGCGGGGUAACGGCCCACCAAGGCAACGAUCAGUAGGGGUUCUGAGAGGAAGGUCCCCCACAUUGGAACUGAGACACGGUCCAAACUCCUACGGGAGGCAGCAGUGAGGAAUAUUGGUCAAUGGACGGAAGUCUGAACCAGCCAAGUAGCGUGCAGGAUGACGGCCCUAUGGGUUGUAAACUGCUUUUGUAUGGGGAUAAAGUUAGGGACG